rnacentral:rRNA from 1 species
UACGUAGGUGGCAAGCGUUGUUCGGAAUUAUUGGGCGUAAAGGGCGCGUAGGCGGUUUGUUAAGUCGGUCGUGAAAGCCCGGGGCUCAACCCCGGAGGGUCGACCGAUACUGGCAGACUAGAGUACAGAAGAGGUAACUGGAAUUCCCGGUGUAGUGGUGAAAUGCGUAGAUAUCGGGAGGAACACCAGUGGCGAAGGCGACUACCUGGCCUGUUCUUGACGCUGAGGCGCGAAAGCUAGGGGAGCAAACGGG